GGCUCCAUAGCUCAGUGGUUAGAGCACUGGUCUUGUAAAUCAGAGGUUGUGAGUUUGAGCUUCACUGGGGCCU